UACGUAGGGGGCGAGCGUUGUCCGGAAUCAUUGGGCGUAAAGAGCGUGUAGGCGGGCCGGAAGGUCUGGUGUGAAAGCCCGGGGCUCAACCCCGGAGGGUCACCGGAAACCGACGGUCUUGAAUCUGGAAGAGGAGAGUGGAAUUCCUGGUGUAGCAGUGAAAUGCGUAGAUAUCGUGAGGAAGACCAGUUGCGAAGGCGGAUCUCUGGGCAGUUCCUGACACUGAGGCACGAAGGCCAGGGGAGCAAACGGG
rnacentral:rRNA from 1 species